UUUUUUUUUUUUGAAGUUUGCCCCAGUGUGAAAGUCUCUCUGUAAGUCAAAACCUUAGCAUUAUUUUAAUGUACUGUGCUGUAUUUAAUAAUCUUAUGCUUCAGACAUUAGUCUGUUACCAUGGGAAUGACAGCAGCAUAAAUACAGGAUUAUGGCUAUCAAGCAGGAGAAAAGAAAUUAUGAAUAAGCCUCGUUAUGUUCAAUAAUUAGCAGCUACAUGGAAAAAAACAAAACCAUGAAUUUAGGUUGAUGCAUUUAUCUCAGUGUUUGAAUACAACUCUGAGUGUGUUAUUGCUUUAAAAUGAGAUUCUAACAAACUGCCAAAAACUUCUUGACUAGCAGUUGUUACUCAGUGCUAUAAUUUAAAAAUUCAUCCUGUCCAUCUCUUUUUUCUCCUAUUUAUAUUCUUCCCCAGCAGAAGAUUGGUAACUAAUGGGUAAUACACAACAUUCCAAGAUAGAUUCUGGUAUCUUGAGCCAACAUAUCAGGAGAAUGGUACAGAAAAACUGAACAUUACCAGCCCCUCUACCUUAGCUAACUGCAAAAUGAACAACUUCCAAGGACUUGCUGCUACUCUCCCACAAAAUGAAAAGUCUAUGUAUCAAGAUGUAGAAUAGUACAGCUAAGCACAAGGCUCCUCCCCAGUCAAAGAGGAGCAGAGAGUGAAGAUCACUAUCAGUCUUCUUUCUUUGAGUUUCAGUCUCAUCAUCUUUGA
rnacentral:lncRNA from 10 species